rnacentral:rRNA from 1 species
UGGGAAACAGGUUAAUAUUCCUGUACUUGGUGUUACUGCGAAGGGGGGACGGAGAAGGCUAUGUUGGCCGGGCGACGGUUGUCCCGGUUUAAGCGUGUAGGCUGGUUUUCCAGGCAAAUCCGGAAAAUCAAGGCUGAGGCGUGAUGACGAGGCACUACGGUGCUGAAGCAACAAAUGCCCUGCUUCCAGGAAAAGCCUCUAAGCAUCAGGUAACAUCAAAUCGUACCCCAAACCGACACAGGUGGUCAGGUAGAGAAUACCAAGGCGCUUGAGAGAACUCGGGUGAAGGAACUAGGCAAAAUGGUGCCGUAACUUCGGGAGAAGGCACGCUGAUAUGUAGGUGAAGCGACUUGCUCGUGGAGCUGAAAUCAGUCGAAGAUACCAGCUGGCUGCAACUGUUUAUUAAAAACACAGCACUGUGCAAACACGAAAGUGGACGUAUACGGUGUGACGCCUGCCCGGUGCCGGAAGGUUAAUUGAUGGGGUCAGCGCAAGCGAAGCUCUUGAUCGAAGCCCCGGUAAACGGCGGCCGUAACUAUAACGGUCCUAAGGUAGCGAAAUUCCUUGUCGGGUAAGUUCCGACCUGCACGAAUGGCGUAAUGAUGGCCAGGCUGUCUCCACCCGAGACUCAGUGAAAUUGAACUCGCUGUGAAGAUGCAGUGUACCCGCGGCAAGACGGAAAGACCCCGUGAACCUUUACUAUAGCUUGACACUGAACAUUGAGCCUUGAUGUGUAGGAUAGGUGGGAGGCUUAGAAGUGUGGACGCCAGUCUGCAUGGAGCCGACCUUGAAAUACCACCCUUUAAUGUUUGAUGUUCUAACGUUGACCCGUAAUCCGGGUUGCGGACAGUGUCUGGUGGGUAGUUUGACUGGGGCGGUCUCCUCCUAAAGAGUAACGGAGGAGCACGAAGGUUGGCUAAUCCUGGUCGGACAUCAGGAGGUUAGUGCAAUGGCAUAAGCCAGCUUGACUGCGAGCGUGACGGCGCGAGCAGGUGCGAAAGCAGGUCAUAGUGAUCCGGUGGUUCUGAAUGGAAGGGCCAUCGCUCAACGGAUAAAAGGUACUCCGGGGAUAACAGGCUGAUACCGCCCAAGAGUUCAUAUCGACGGCGGUGUUUGGCACCUCGAUGUCGGCUCAUCACAUCCUGGGGCUGAAGUAGGUCCCAAGGGUAUGGCUGUUCGCCAUUUAAAGUGGUACGCGAGCUGGGUUUAGAACGUCGUGAGACAGUUCGGUCCCUAUCUGCCGUGGGCGCUGGAGAACUGAGGGGGGCUGCUCCUAGUACGAGAGGACCGGAGUGGACGCAUCACUGGUGUUCGGGUUGUCAUGCCAAUGGCACUGCCCGGUAGCUAAAUGCGGAAGAGAUAAGUGCUGAAAGCA